AUUGAACGCUAGCGGGAUGCUUUACACAUGCAAGUCGAACGAGUGGCGGACGGGUGAGUAAUCUAUCGGAACGUGCCCAGUAGCGGGGGAUAACUACUCGCAAGAGUGGCUAAUACCGCAUACUCGUGGAGCGGCCGAUAUCGGAUUAUCUAGUUGGUGGGGUAACGGCUCACCAGGGCAACGACCCGUAGCUGGUUUGAGAGGACGACCCGCUAAACUGGGACUGAGACACGGCGCAGAAUCCUACGGGAGGCAGCAGUGGGGAAUUUUGGACAAUGGGGGAAACCCUGAUCCAGCCAUGCCGCGUGUAUGAGAAGGCCUUCGGGUUGUAAAGUACUUUUGGCAGAGAAGCGGUAUCUGCAGAAUAAGCACAGGCUAACUACGUGCCAGCCGCCGCGGUAAUAC
rnacentral:rRNA from 1 species